GGUGAACGCUGGCGGCGUGCUUAAGACAUGCAAGUCGAACGCAGUCUUCGGACUGAGUGGCGCACGGGUGAGUAACACGUAACUGACCUACCCCCAAGUCGCGAAUAACCAGCCGAAAGGAUGGCUAAUACGUGAUGUGAUGAUCCGCUGUGGCGGAUCAUUAAAGACUUGAUCGCUUGGGGAUGGGGUUGCGUUCCAUCAGCUAGUUGGUAAGGUAAAGGCUUACCAAGGCAACGACGGAUAGCCGGCCUGAGAGGGUGGCCGGCCACAGGGGCACUGAGACACGGGUCCCACUCCUACGGGGGGCAGCAGUUAGGAAUCUUCCACAAUGGGCGCAAGCCUGAUGGAGCGACGCCGCGUGAGGGAUGAAGGUUCUCGGAUCGUAAACCUCUGAACCAACGACGAAAGACCCGACAAGGGAGAUGACGGUAGUUGGGUAAUAGCACCGGCUUACUCCGUGCCAGCAGCCGCGGUAAGAC
rnacentral:rRNA from 1 species